GGCUAGGUAGCUCAAUGGUAAUGGUAGAGUACCUGGUAUAUUUUCAGGAGGCCUGGGUUCAACCCCCAGUCUGGUCC